rnacentral:rRNA from 1 species
AUUGAACGCUGGCGGCAGGCCUAACACAUGCAAGUCGAGCGGAUGAAGGGAGCUUGCUCCUGGAUUCAGCGGCGGACGGGUGAGUAAUGCCUAGGAAUCUGCCUGGUAGUGGGGGAUAACGUCCGGAAACGGGCGCUAAUACCGCAUACGUCCUGCGGGAGAAAGUGGGGGAUCUUCGGACCUCACGCUCUCAGAUGAGCCUAGGUCGGAUUAGCUAGUUGGUGGGGUAAAGGCCUACCAAGGCGACGAUCCGUAACUGGUCUGAGAGGAUGAUCAGUCACACUGGAACUGAGACACGGUCCAGACUCCUACGGGAGGCAGCAGUGGGGAAUAUUGGACAAUGGGCGAAAGCCUGAUCCAGCCAUGCCGCGUGUGUGAAGAAGGUCUUCGGAUUGUAAAGCACUUUAAGUUGGGAGGAAGGGCAGUAAGUUAAUACCUUGCUGUUUUGAAGUUACCAACAGAAUAAGCACCGGCUAAAUUAGUG